rnacentral:lncRNA from 1 species
CGGGUCAAUCUACACUGCAAACUGAUGAUUAUGGAUAUCUUUCGAAGGUCCCUUGAAGCCGCACAAAUGUCUGACCUCUACGGAUAUGCACACGAGACUUCAAUCUGAUCAGAAACUUCUUGAUCUUAUUGGGAUGCUAGCUCUCUUGCAGAGAUCGUAUCUUGACAGUUGAAGAAUCUUCUUUUCUCUCAUGACACUCUUAGAGAAGAAGAAGAUAAUAGGAGGAUGAUGAUCUCUAUGCUAGAGAUCAUGAGAAGAACCCUUUCUUCUC